rnacentral:rRNA from 1 species
UACGGAAGGCAGCAGUGGGGAAUAUUGCACAAUGGGCGAAAGCCUGAUGCAGCUAUGCCGCGUGUAUGAAGAAGGCCUUAGGGUUGUAAAGUACUUUCAUCGGGGAGGAAAAACAAAACUAAUAAUUUUAUUUCUUGACGUUACCCGAAAAAGAAGCACCGGCUAACUCCGUGCCAGCAGCCGCGGUAAUACGGAGGGUGCUAGCGUUAAUCAGAAUUACUGGGCGUAAAGAGCACGUAGGUGGUUUUUUUAAAGUCAGAUGUGAAUCCCUGGGCUUAACCUAGGAACUGCAUUUUGAAACUGAAAUACUAGAGUAUCGUAGAGGGAGGUAGAAUUCUAGGUGUAGCGGUGAAAUGCGUAGAUAUCUGGAGGAAUACCUGUGGCGAAAGCGGCCUCCUAAACGAAUACUGACACUGAGGUGCGAAAGCGUGGGGAGCGAAACAGGGAUUAGAUACC